ACUCCUACGGGAGGCAGCAGUGGGGAAUCUUGGACAAUGGGGGCAACCCUGAUCCAGCCAUGCCGCGUGUGUGAAGAAGGCCUUCGGGUUGUAAAGCACUUUCAGUCGGGAGGAAGGCUUUGGCUUAAUACGCUGAAGUACUUGACGUUACCGACAGAAGAAGCACCGGCUAAUUUCGUGCCAGCAGCCGCGGUAAUACGAAAGGUGCGAGCGUUAAUCGGAAUUACUGGGCGUAAAGCGCGCGUAGGCGGUUUGUUAAGUUAGAUGUGAAAGCCCCGGGCUCAACCUGGGAACUGCAUUUAAAACUGGCAGGCUAGAGUGCAGUAGAGGGAGGUGGAAUUUCCGGUGUAGCGGUGAAAUGCGUAGAGAUCGGAAGGAACACCAGUGGCGAAGGCGGCCUCCUGGACUGACACUGACGCUGAGGUGCGAAAGCGUGGGGAGCAAACAGGAUUAGAUACCCCUGUAGUCC
rnacentral:rRNA from 1 species